AAGUCUAAUCUGCUCACUGAUAAUUAAAGAGCCGCAGUAUAAUGACUGUGCAAAGGUAGCAUAAUCAAUAGUUUUUUGAUUGAAAACUGGAAUGAAAGAUUGAACGAUAAAUUUACUUUUUUGACUUUAAAUAUUGAAUUUAAAUUUUAAGUUAAAAUUCUUAAAUAACUUUGAAAGACGAGAAGACCCUAUAGAUUUUUAUUUAUUAUUUAUUUAUAUAUAAUAAUGUAUAAUUAAUGAAUUUAAUUGGGGUGAUUUUGUAAUAUAUUAAACUUAAAUUAUUUAAACCAUAAAUAAUUGAAUUUUUUGAUCUAAAAUUUUUAAUUAAUAGAUUAAAUUACCUUAGGGAUAACAGUGUUAUAUUAUUUAAGAGUUCAUAUCUAUAAUAAUAAUUGCAACCUCGAUGUUGAAUUAAGAAGGAUAUAAAAGUAGAAGUUUAUAAAAUUUAGUCUGUUCGACUAUUAAAUUCUUAC
rnacentral:rRNA from 1 species